AAACUUGGUGAUCACAUCUGUUCCAUGUGGACGGUCUAGGUACUAGGGAUACAGUGGUGUGAAAAAUCACCCUACGCAGAUCGUUCCUGCCUACAGGGAAUGAGGUAGGGGGAUGAAGACAGAGAGGUGAGAGGAUAAGGGGGUGGAGUUUAUGGGUAUGUUGAUAACAAGCAAAAAUAUGAACUCUACAAUGUUAGAGGGAGCAAACGCAAUGAAGAGCAAUGAGCAAGGGAAGGAGCUAGAGAGUGGUCAGGGAAAGCCUGUCUGGCCAUCAGUGCUUCCCAACUGAUUGGCUAUUUUUUUAGAAAGACAUUAAUAAAGGAUGUGCCAUAGAGCGGGUGGAGGACUCAGUGGGCAGAAGAGCCACUGAAGAAUCUACUAGAUACAGAAAAUGAUGGUCAUAGGUAAUGGUGGUCGUUCAUUAUUUUUGCAUACCGAUAUCCAAUUGUUCAAGUGUCACUUGUUGAAAAGACUACCAUUUUCCUACGGAGGAAAUAAUCCAAGUUUUAAAAAGUUCCACUUAGUGGUCAUUUCUAUGAACAAAAUGAAUAGUGCUGGAUAACAGAUGAGACUUACAUGAUUCAAAGGCAGUUACGUGAAGCCCUGGGGAAGAGCUUUCCAGGAGAGGCAACGGCAGGUGCACAAGCCCCGAGGUAAGAAAGGGAAAUGUCAAGACCAGAAGGCAGGCUGAUACGGAGGAAUCUUCCAGAAGAAGUCCAAAGGAUGAACUGAGACUGGACUUGAGGCAGGACCUUGUGAGCCCAGAUGGAGGUGGCAAUUGCCAAGUGGAGAAUAAGAAGAAGUGGAAAAAAAUGAAAAUAAGAAAGAUAAUAGGUGGAAGAGAGUCAGGCAGAGUGAAGGAAUCAAAGAGCGGCACAGGACCCUGAGAUCCGCCUAGCAUCCAUUAACAAGUAUUCACGGAGCACCGAUGUGUCAGGAACUGUCCUCCGCCCUGGGACCAUGCUGGGACAUGGACCGAGAAUAGUCACAUGUCUGUGGAGCUAGUGAGGGAGAGAGAUGCCAAAUAAUUAUGGAAAAGGUAUAUCUGCCAAGUAGAGCCACCACCAUUUUGUUGCCUGGCAGAGGUGUGAGAUGCAAGGCUGUUUACAAAGCCCCCAGCAAGAGCAAUCCCAUCAUCAGGAGGUUUGCUUCCCCCCCGGGCCAGCCCUCUCGCUCUCCAUGCCCGUCUUGGCUGCAUGCGUUGUACCUAACACAUUUAACCCGCGUUUCUUAAGAGUUCUGCAAAAUGGUGUCUGCUGGUGUUUGCAAGGGAAGCUCCCGCUGGGCGUCCCGAGCUGGGUGGGAGCUGAGUGUGCGGUUCCCUAACGAGCUGGCGGCCGGCCUGAGCGGCUCUGAUCUCCAAUUCUGACGGCUUGUCCUUCAGGUGACCUAUAUUAUCUGGCACCUCAGUUGCUGCUCACAAAGAAAAAGUAUCACUGGAAGAAAGAAAAAAAAAAUCCCAAGUGAUUGUGUACAUGCUCUUUAUUGAGAAUAU
rnacentral:lncRNA from 1 species